UUAGAGAUCAGUUAGGAUGACACUGUAGUUAGCUUAGAGAAGGGGGCACUCCAUCUCAGAGCGGAGAAUCUGGUCAAACUUGGUCAUUUAGAGGAACUAAAAGUCGUAACAAGGUUUAUUCUAGAGCUAAUACAUGCUACCAACCUCGACUUCCGAAGGGGUGUAUUUAUUAAAUUAAAAACCCAUGCCCUUCGAGGCUCCUUGAGUGAUUCUUAAUAUCUUAACGAAUCGCAUGGCCUUGCGCCGGCUAUGGUUCAUUCCCAUUUCUGCCCUAUCAACUUUCGAUGGUAUGAUAGUGGCCUACCGUGGUGGCGACGGCUAACGAGUAAUUAGGGUUCGAUUCCGGAGAGGGAGCCUGACAAACGGCUACCACAUCCUAGGAAGGUUGCAGGCGCGCAAAUUACCCAAUCCCGAUACGGGGAGGUAGUGACAAUAAAUACUGAUACGGGGCUCUUUUGGGUCUCGUAAUUGGAAUGAGUACAAUCUAAAUCCCUUAACGAGGAACAAUUGGAGGGCAAGUCUGGUGCCAGCAGCCGCGGUAAUUCCAGCUCCAAUAGCGUAUAUUAAAGUUGUUGCAGUUAAAAAGCUCGUAGUUGAACCUUGGGUCUGGCUGGCCGGUCCGCCUCACCGCGAGUACUGGUCCGGCUGGACCUUUCCUUCUGGGGAACCUCAUGGCCUUCACUGGCUGUGGGGGGAACCAGGACUUUUACUGUGAAAAAAUUAGAGUGUUCAAAGCAGGCCUUUGCUCGAAUACAUUAGCAUGGAAUAAUAGAAUAGGACGUGCGGUUCUAUUUUGUUGGUUUCUAGGACCGCCGUAAUGAUUAAUAGGGAUAGUCGGGGGCGUCAGUAUUCAGCUGUCAGAGGUGAAAUUCUUGGAUUUGCUGAAGACUAACUACUGCGAAAGCAUUCGCCAAGGAUGUUUUCAUUAAUCAGGGAACGAAAGUUAGGGGAUCGAAGACGAUCAGAUACCGUCGUAGUCUUAACCAUAAACUAUGCCGACUAGGGAUCGGGCGGUGUUUCUAUGAUGACCCGCUCGGCACCUUACGAGAAAUCAAAGUUUUUGGGUUCUGGGGGGGAGUAUGGUCCCAAGGCUGAAACUUAAAGAAAUUGACGGAAGGGCACCCCAAGGCGUGGAGCCUGCGGCUUAAUUUGACUCAACCCGGGGAAACUCCCCAGGUCCAAACAAAAUAAGGAUUGACAGAUUGAAAGCUCUUUCUUGAUCUUUUGGAAGGGGGUGCAGGGCCGUUCUUAAUUUGGGGGAAGGAUUUGUCCGCUUAAUUGCAAAAACGAACAGAAACUCGGCCCCUAAAAAACCCGGUCCCGUUUGCGGGCCCUUGGUUUUUAAGGGGGAAUUCCGUUCAAACCCAUGGAAAAUGGCCCGGAAAAACAGGGU
rnacentral:rRNA from 1 species